CACUCCAGCCUGAGCAACAGAGCAAGACUCUGUCUCAAAGAAAAAAAAAAAAGAAAAGCACUGAACAGAAAGGUUAGUUUUAUACAAGAAUGAAGGAGGGAAGAACAUGAAAGGCCCUCAAAGAAUCCUCAUUUUAUAAAGAAGGGCAUUGAGGCCCAGCCCAAGUAACUAUUUAUUAAAUCUCUAAUUAAUGUCCACAAACUACUACAAAACAAUAACUGGAAAUGAUUAGUUUUGCAUAUGAUAUAUUAGAAGUGAGCUGAGUAACCCAUGGAAUCUGUCUGGUACAACUCCUCAUCUGAGAUAUGAAAACACAGAGGUCCAGAGAGGAGAUGUGACUUGCUUAACAUCACACAGCUAGUGAGUAGCCAAGCAGAUGAGCCUCCUAACUCCCCUUUCUUUCUUGCAUGCCACACUAAUCAGAGAUGCAAAGGUACUUGUCUUAAAAAGCAAGAGAGGGACAAGCAAAAGGAAAAGUAGGAAUAAGUGAACUUCCUUCUUUGUCCCUGAUUUCUAUAAUUUUCUUUCCACUAUCUCCCUGCAGCCCCCCGAUCCUUGCCAUGAACUCAACACUUUGCAGCAAGCCCACUCGUAUCCCCAGCAGAAAUUUCAGAGGGUCUCUCUCUUUCUAAUGUUCCUGUGUUAUGUAACAGAGCUGAACUGGCACCCCAGCUGAUCCCUCCUACCUAAUUACAUCAUUUACCUUCAGACCUUGACAUCUGGCUGUCUUCUCAGCUCUGGAAACUUGUCAGAAUCCAAUAUCUCAAAGAGUGGGUCUGAAGCUGGACAGCAGGGAACACCCCAUUCUCCUGCCCCCAGCUCUCCUAUGGAAUCCUAAUUCAAGGCAGGGUCGGGUGUGAAGGGCAGCUCAGGGGAAGAAUAUCCGAUCGUGGCUAAUACCCACCUCCUCUAAGAAGCUUAUCAGGGCAUUGUACAAGUUCUGGGUCCCGGUACACCUGACCAAGCCUGAGAGAGUGGGCCUUCCACCAGGGACACAGAGGGGCUCACUGUGGGCCCACAAAGUCAAUGGAGGAACUGGGGAGAUUUCUCAAACUUGUUUCUAAGCUAUGAGAAUGAGAGGUGGUCUAGGGUUUCCAUGCUUAGAUGGUGGAAAGUUUUGAAAAGAUUCAGAAGGCGCUCUGAGAAAACGAAGGGAAAGUGACUGGGGCUUAAGAGAUCAGAAGACCUCAGUUAGCAUUAGGCUCGACUUGCUACUGUGUGAUUCUAAUGUAAUCUAAAAGUAAAUGUGGGGAUAAUAAUACCUGUCCUUCCUAUUUGUAAGGUGAAUGUGAGAAUCAAAAUAAAAAACAAAGAUUAUAGAGAAAACACCAAGCAAACUUCAAAGCAAUUCAUACCUGAAAUCUAUUUUAUUAGGCCUAAAGGAAAUCCUUGGUGUAGAGGGCACUAAUGGAUCUCCCCAGAGCAGGCUGGGACAUCCCAAGAUACCUGAGGAGUUGGUGCCCUGAGCCCCCCGCGCCUCCAGCCCAUGACUUGGAGCUGAUCAAAGUGGGAGUAGGAGUACCUGGGUGCAUGAUGCUUUGGGUUACUUUCAUCUGAAAUAGCAGUUAAUCCUCACAGCCUCACCUCUACCCUGCUUCACCUUGAGUGGCCUGGAACAGUAAGAAGGUCACGAGCUCCCUCUGCUGAAGCCCACAGAAGGGCCCACCCACUGUGGAAGAGCUGGCUUCAUCUCUGAGUAUGCUGGGGUCACUCUGGAUGUUGGAAGCCUGGGAUCAGGACCUGAGGUCUGCUAGUUACAUGUCCUUGCCUUUAUGCUGCUGUGGGCAGAACAAAAUCUAGUUCUUUCCCUUUUCAUGCCACUAUGUAACACAGUCUCAAUCUGGCCCAGAAAGAUGAAAAAAGGAAUAUAAUUCACAAAGUAAAA
rnacentral:lncRNA from 1 species